rnacentral:rRNA from 1 species
UACCAGCUCUCCGAGUGGUAGGGAUGAUUAUUGGGCUUAAAGCGUCCGUAGCCGGCUUAGCAAGUCUCCUGUUAAAUUCAGCGACCUAAUCGUUGAGCCGCGGGAGAUACUACUAGGCUAGGAGGCGGGAGAGGUCGACGGUACUUCUGGGGUAGGGGUGGAAUCCUAUAAUCCCGGGAGGACCACCAGUGGCGAAGGCUGUCGACUAGAACGCGCUCGACGGUGAGGGACGAAAGCGUGGGGGGGCGAACCGGAUUAGAUACCCGGGUAGUCCCAGCUGUAAACGAUGCGGGCUAGGUGUUGGGGUGGCUACGUGCCACUUCAGUGCCGCAGGGAAGCCAUUAAGCCCGCCGCCUGGGGAGUACGGCCGCAAGGCUGAAACUUAAAGGAAUUGGCGGGGGAGCACCACAAGGCGUGAAGCUUGCGGUUC